CAGGUAACAAUCUACUAGCUGGAAUUGGAUUCUUGGUGGUGUUCAAAACUGAGCUGAACGCAACUCAAUAAGAGGUCUAGCUAGGAAACUGAUGGUAUUGGUGCGUCGUUGUUCAGGUGUGGCCGACUGAGAACAACAAGAAGUUCGAGACCCUGUCGUACCUGCCGCCUCUCUCCACGGAGGACCUCUUGAAGCAGAUCGACUACCUGAUCCGGAACAACUGGGUCCCCUGCCUCGAGUUCAGCAAGGUCGGCUUCGUCUUCCGUGAGAACGCCACUUCUCCCGGGUACUACGAUGGCCGCUACUG
rnacentral:lncRNA from 1 species